CUCGGAGCAGAGCGAAGCACGGGCGCGCCGGGCGGUCCCAGGCCCGACGCGCCCACGAGGCCACUUCUCCCUCGUUCCCGCGGCCGCACGACAAACUCGCUUCCACCGCGGAAGACCCGGCUCCGGCCGCCGCGCUUUCCCUGGCCUUCGCUCACGUUGUGUCUCGUUUCUUCUCCCUGUCCGUCCCGUUAGAUUAUGAGGAACACUUUGAGGGAAUACCAUUCGUCUUUGUUGACCCAGUGCCUGGCAGGCCCGAAACCGUCGUAGGUCUUUCAAUCGUCCUUGAAAGAGGUGGAAACGCCCGUUCAGCCAGUCGUGGAAGGCAUGGCGAAGGCGGCUCUUUGACAUGCACGUUUUUCUCAGGAGCGAAGGAACGACUGAGGCCAAAGAAACCAGGUGGUGGCCAUUUCACAUGGGAGAUAGAGACAAGUUGUUUGAUGUCGGACCCCCUGGUUUGAACCUCUGGGAAGCUGCCCACUGACAAUCUGUUGCACUCUGAGCACUGAAAACAAGAAAACCAAAGCCUGAAAUCCAGAAGCCCCUUCCUCUUGCAAUGUCCUCCAGCGCCCUCUACUGACAAGGCUCGACAUUGUUACAUGGGCAAAGUACUUCAGUUGAAUCUGUCAUGUGUUAAUGAACCUGUCCUAUCAAGGGUGAACUUCAUUCAUUCUCAUGGACUCAACCAUCAUCCAUCAGUUCUGUGAAUACGUCAGAUAAGAAGCUGAAUAUCCUGAAUAUCCUGACAGCAGUCUGAUGGCUUAUCAAUAAGGUGAUAUUGUGAGGUUUUGAGUUCAGGGCCUUUCCAUUGAGGAGAACCAUACUCAACCACUAAUAUUGAACACUGAAUAACUUUGGAAAUUAGUUUUUGUUAGACUUGAUAAUGGGUCCUUAAUAAAUUCAACCUCGUAUUACAAGGCGAAACAGUGCUUUUAUAAAAAACACAUUGCUGUAAUUUCCAACAACUAAUGUUGCUUGAACCAUCCAGCUGCUUACACUUCUCAUGCCGUUGGAAGUUAACAGCAGCACGUUCACUCCCACACAUAUUUAUAGCAGCUGCAUCUUCCAAGCGCAAACUACAGCUCCAGCAGUGUAUUUCAAAGAUCAAUGCAAGUGUAAAGGAAAAUUCCAGAUUUAAAAAUUCAUUUAACUGUGCAACUGACGAUAUUCCAUCUAAGUUUCAAUUAGAAGUGAUUCAUCUGCAACAUGACAUGCUAAAAGGCCACCAUCAAGAAUCUUAAUUGUAUAAAUGCCUCCAUGUGAUGAAGAUGCUUGGUCAAAAUCAUAGAGUCGUGGACUCAUCAGUAUUUGGCAGUACUUAUGUUUGAAAAGAUAGUUUCAAAGCUGAAAUGCACAAAAUCUAACAGAUGAACAUUUGCAAUCAACUUUGAUAGCAAACUUUGAAUUCCAAUUAAGCAAAAUACUGCCCCCAAAAGCAUU